GCAUGCAGGUGAGAAGGGAAGAUACAUGUAAUCUGCAUGUCUGCCACCAUUCCUUGUUACCCUUUUUCAUAUCCCAUGAGCACAGCACUCCAGCGGACCUACCCAAAAUAUGUGGGAGUUCAGUGAAACUCAAACCUAUACAGUCUCUGUCCUGGUGAGGAGCAUGAUCACCAACAGGCAAGAUCUUCUGGCCUUGAAGUUUCGCUUGAGUUAAAAGAGCUCAUCUCAGGACUUUCUGAAUUUUCAGCCCAUAUGACAUGGAAGAAGAGUUAGAAGGGGAAUCUGACUGCUUGGAUCAGGGACUGUCUGGCUGGUGGAACUUGAAUGUAUACAACACUCUUCAUUUGCAUGUUUUGACAUUUUAAAAAAUGUUUUCACUUUCCUUAUCUACUUUGACUCUAAUAACAUCCUGAAAGGUAAGUAGAAUUAUUCUCAUAAUAUGAUGAAGAACCCAAGGCUCUCAAGGGAACACCACUCUUGGAUUAUUUAGCCCCGCUCUUCUACAAGAAUUGCAUACCCCAACCCCUGGAGCCCCUCCCCAUAUCCAUGUUUCUGCCCUAUAAUCUGAUCCUUUCACCAAAAAUGUUUAGAUCAGGUACACACACCUGAACUAAAUUGGGACUAUCAGUUUCUCUCUCUUUAAAUUGCCCUGAGAAUUGAAACUCAGAGGAGCAAAAGUCUAAGUUUUGAGAGAUAACAUGUGUAAAAUGGCAGGAAUCCAAAUCCAUAGGCACAGUCCACAGAUUCCUGAAGCUAGGGGUUCUGGCCCGAACCUGGUUUUCAAUCUUCUCCCCUUAAGCCCUUCCUAGCUCUUUUAAACUCUUUGAAUUGCUUUAAAUAGCCCUAGUUUCUUAAACUAAAUUCUCCUUUUUUGGUAAAGGUACAUUGAAUUAGUUUCUGUUAUUUGCUAUCAAAAGAAUCUUACCUAAUAUGGGCACAGAGAUG
rnacentral:lncRNA from 10 species